GUUUCAAGAUGUGAAAUGUUCCCUUAAGUCAUUUAUGGUUCCUUUGGAUUCCCAAUUAUGAGGUGUGUGAAGGCAGAGAUAGCUCUAUUCUGCAGGAGGUUAAACCAAGAUGAGAGACGAAAAGUGACUCAUCAAAAGUCCAACAUUUACUCAGAGGUUAAGCCCGGGAGAUUCUAAUUGCCCAUCAAAGACUGUGUCUGUUAAGUUAUGUGAAGCUUUAGCACAGUGCAUGGUGAGGAGAGGAAUCUCAAAUUCUGAGAGAAACCAGAACUUCUAGCCGGAGGACCAGGGAAGGUGGCAGAGGCUCAGGAGAAGAGGCAUCUAUGGUGAGCUGGGCCUGCAGGGAGCACACCCUGGACUCCAGCGCA